rnacentral:rRNA from 1 species
CCUACGGGUGGCAGCAGUCGAGAAUCAUUCACAAUGGGGGAAACCCUGAUGGUGCGACGCCGCGUGGGGGAAUGAAGGUCUUCGGAUUGUAAACCCCUGUCAUGUGGGAGCAAAUUAAAAAGAUAGUACCACAAGAGGAAGAGACGGCUAACUCUGUGCCAGUAGCCGCGGUAAUACAGAGGUCUCAAGCGUUGUUCGGAAUCACUGGGCGUAAAGCGUGCGUAGGCUGUUUCGUAAGUCGUGUGUGAAAGACGCGGGCUCAACCAGCGGACGGCACAUGAUACUGCGAGACGAGAGUAAAGGAGGGGGAACCGGAAUUCUCGGUGUAGCAGUGAAAUGCGUAGAUAUCGAGAGGAACACCAGUGGCGAAGGCGGGUUCCUGGACUUUAACUGACGCUGAGGCACGAAGGCCAGGGGAGCGAAAGGGAUUAGAUACCCGUGUAGUC